ACACUCCUACGGGAGGCAGCAGUGGGGAAUUUUGGACAAUGGGCGAAAGCCUGAUCCAGCAAUGCCGCGUGAGUGAAGAAGGCCUUCGGGUUGUAAAGCUCUUUUGUCAGGGAAGAAACGGUGAGAGCUAAUAUCUUUUGCUAAUGACGGUACCUGAAGAAUAAGCACCGGCUAACUACGUGCCAGCAGCCGCGGUAAUACGUAGGGUGCAAGCGUUAAUCGGAAUUACUGGGCGUAAAGCGUGCGCAGGCGGUUUUGUAAGUCUGAUGUGAAAUCCCCGGGCUCAACCUGGGAAUUGCAUUGGAGACUGCAAGGCUAGAAUCUGGCAGAGGGGGGUAGAAUUCCACGUGUAGCAGUGAAAUGCGUAGAUAUGUGGAGGAACACCGAUGGCGAAGGCAGCCCCCUGGGUCAAGAUUGACGCUCAUGCACGAAAGCGUGGGGAGCAAACAGGAUUAGAAACCCCAGUAGUCCCAUG
rnacentral:rRNA from 1 species